GCCACUUCCUGCUCCCCAGGUCCAGUUAAAGUGACAUCAUCAGUAGAGCAGACCACUAUAAGUUUCUGCAGAAGUUCCAGGUAAACCAAGUCCUUUUAUCAUGAGAGUGUUAACAUGACCCUGGGUCAAGAUCACGAAUGUACUAUUAUUCAUUCCAGGUGUCAGAGUGACCGAUGAAAUAGGGACAUGGUGAAGACCGGGGCUCUUCCGUCUGGUGGUGCACACCUCUGAGAGUGAUACUCAAUCUCCAUGAUUCCAUUCAGUAAAAAUCAGGAGCUGUUGUUAUUAAUCUUCAUAAGCCCAGGAUGCUUGGGUGAUAUAAGAGUGUUCAGUGAAUGGUUGCUGCAGGAAUAAACCCAGGAUCCAGCUAACAGGUUCAGCUCUCUUUUCUACACUUCAGUCCAUUAGGAGUGUAGGAGGUAGGAUUUGAGAAGACAGAGGAAGACUGAACUCUCUAAGUCUUUUCCUACUGAAGUUUUCUCCCAAGUUGCGCUGCAGUCCAUGGGGUUGUGAAGAGUCGGACAGAGUGACUGAACUGACUUCCAUUCUCAAAGAAUAUCCUAGUAGAACAACAGAUGCUGGGAGUUGUAAGGAAAGGAGGGGGAUGGGGAGAAAAAAUAAAAGAAGAAACGGGCCAAGCACAAUUUAAAUGCUGAGGGAGUGUGCCACAUUACUUAAUUUGAGCUGCACGAUGCAAAACAAAACAAAAAUUAUCCGCAAGUUGGCAAAGCCUGCCAAAAGUAAAAGGCAAGGAAGAAACUGCGUUAGCGAGCAACACAUUUAAGACACGCUUGUCGAGGUGCUUUGAAGAAAGUGAGUUGAACGACCCCCAUCCUCAAGCAUAA